rnacentral:rRNA from 1 species
UACGGGGGGUGCGAGCGUUGUCCGGAAUCACUGGGCGUAAAGGGCGCGUAGGUGGUUUGAUAAGGGUGUGGUGAAAGUCCGGGGCUCAACCCCGGAUCUGCCGUGCCGACUGUCAAACUCGAGGGCUGUAGAGGCAGACGGAAUUCCGGGUGUAGCGGUGGAAUGCGUAGAGAUCCGGAGGAAGACCGGUGGCGAAGGCGGGUCUCUGGGCAAUUCCUGACGCUGAGGCGCGAAAGCGUGGGGAGCAAACGGG